UGGUGGUGGAUGGGAUUUGAAUUCAGGACUUUCAUCUGCCAAAGCUCUUUGCACUGAGUCAGACCGUGGGGCAGAUCAGCCAAAUAGCUCUGAUGAAAUCUCCUCCCACUGAAACCCUACAGGGUCUCCCACUUCACUUUGAGGUAAAGGUCCAAUUAUUCAACCUACAAUUAGGUCCCUGUCCAAAGUGGUCUCAAUUUCACACCUGAGCCUUCUUUCUCGCCUCUUCUUAGUAUUCACAAGCUGUCCUCUGCGGCUGAGACCAGGUAGGCAGCCAGCCGAAGGGGCAGAAGAAAUUAAUAGACAGAACACAAUCUAUAUUAUUCAAUGGGACAGGGGUCCAUCAGCCUCAAGGACUGAGGUGAGGUCCCGUGGAUCACCACAUAUUUAUUUCUGGGUAAAGAAUCUUAAGCAUAUACAAUAGCAGGAACUCAUGCCUGCAAGGACACGCAAGCCAAAGUCCACAGGUUCUAUUCCUCACGCCCUGAAGCACACUAGUCUAUCCCAGGUCACUGCCUUGGGGAGUAUCUUAAGAACAAUCAGCAUGGUAUGCAGACGGCGUCCAGUUCCUGCAAGGGCCCAGUGUUCCUAAGCCCCUUGCCUUCAUGCUCGGUAAGAUAUUCCCUUCCAGCCUUUGAUUCCAAGGCACAAACAAUCUGGUAUCAGAUCACAUAUCUCCUAGUUACCCAUUUGGAAUUUAUUUUUCCUAAGUUUAAAGCCCAGGAAGAAUGCUGCUAUGAUCUCCUGCAGCAGUCCUCCAGCCUGGGUUCCCAAAGCCUGCAGCCACAACACUCAUCUGGGAGCUUUGUGAACAUUCCUGGUUGUGAAAUUGCGCCAUAGUUUCACAAGGUGUUCUCAUCGGGGGAAACUGGUUGAAAGGGACAUGAGAACUCUCUGCAUUUGACUUACAGCUUGAUGAGAAUCCCCAGUUAUCUCAAAACAAAAAUUUAAUCAAAAUCAAAUCUCCAAUUGAGCCUAAUGGUCUUCUAGUGUUGCCAAGUGCUAAGGGUCUAGGUACGUGUCUACUCACCGUUCCCAAAACUCAUUCUCCUCUUUGCUGUUUUGAUUCUCCUUUCCUUCCUAUUCGCUAGCUGAGGAAGAUUUCAUGUCUCAUCUCUAAGGGUUUCAGAGCACUGAUCUUCCCUCCUCCCUUCCCCAUACUUCUGGGUACAUCAGACCAAACUGUCCCAAAUCUCCUCCAGAGGGAAUAUCUACUGAGAAAUCCUCAUGAGGCCUCUCUCUCGAGUUCCUUUACAGACUCCAGGAAGAACACAGAAUAUCUCAGUGUCUUCUCUGCUGGGAGCCAACUCCCUCACCCCCAGAGAGGUCUUCACCAACAGAUCAAUAAAGGAAACGCGUCAGCUGGGUGACCGUGGUUGGGAAAAAGAGGUGAACAAGCUCAGCACGGUCUGUGGAGGUGUCGAGCUCACUCCCCACGGCCUUCUCUGUUUCAGACUUGACAAAAUGUCUUUCUUCUCAUCAUGGAUGAAAGCUAUUUUCCUUAUUGCCUUGCUAUUUCCUCUUCACUCUGAAUCUGCUUUUUCACCACCAAAAAACAUUCUAAGAAGAUGAAUCUGGUGGAAAAUUUGAUUUUUUGUCAUUAUGGUGAAUGCUGACUCUGCCAGAGUUACACAUUCCUACGCCUUUUAUUGCAAUCCUCUUUUGCAGUGGAUUCUACAAGCAAUUAGAGUAUUCUCAACCAGAGUUUUAAAUUCCAAGAUGACUGGACAAAGCCUGCUCUAGUAUACAAGAUGGAAUAUAGGAUGUUGAAGAAUUUUUCCAAUUCUAAGAAACUGUGAUUGAAAAAUUUUUAUCCUGUUUGUUGAAUUAUGAAUGACAGUUGCAAAAUUAUCUUAAUUGUAUUUGACAAUAUAAAA
ensembl:lncRNA